GCGGGGACAGCAGAUGCACGUGAGUGUCGACGCCGCCCGGCGUGGCGAUCAGGCCUUCCCCCGACACCACGACGGUUCCGCUCCCCAUCCGCACAGCGAUGCCGUCGGUGGUGUCCGGGUUUCCCGCCUUGCCGAUGGCGACGAUGCGCCCUCCGCGCACGCCGAUGUUGGUGGCGCGAAUCCCCAGCACCGGGUCCAGCAUGACGACGUUCGUGACCACCAGGUCGCAGGACUCCGCGGUGGUGACCGACUGCAGCCCGAUCCCGUCGC
rnacentral:sRNA from 1 species